rnacentral:sRNA from 1 species
CAGAAGACUCUGGACAAGCCACAGUCCCUGCUGUUCGAUAUACCAAUCCAAGCCUCUACCUAGGCACGUGGCUCCUGGUUUUGCUGAUCCAAUACAGCAGACAAUGGUGUGUACAGAAAAACUCCUGGUUCCUGUCCCUAUUCUGGAUUCUCUCAAUACUCUGUGGCACUUUCCAAUUUCAGACGCUGAUCCGGACACUCUUACAGGGUGACAAUUCUAAUCUAGCCUACUCCUGCCUGUUCUUCAUCUCCUAUGGAUUCCAGAUCCUGAUCCUGAUCUUUUCAGCAUUUUCAGAAAAUAAUGAGUCAUCAAAUAAUCCAUCAUCCACAGCUUCGUUUCUGAGUAGCAUUACCUACAGCUGGUAUGACAGGUAGGAAAUCCUGAAGUAUGGAUUGUCUGUAUCCUUACUCUCUCACUCCUCUGAAAGUGUCAGAAAGAUUUUUUAUUUUAUUAUUAUUUUUUUGAGAUGGAGUUUCACUCUUGUUGCCCAGGCUGGAGUGCAAUGGUGCGAUCUUGGCUCACUGC